CUCCAACAUAAGUGUAUUAUGGCUCUAUAGGGUAACAUGGAAUAUAAGUAUAAUUCAUUUUACUGUCUUGUCUGUUUAUUGUUGUUUAUGAACUGACCCUGUGACCACGGCAAAUAUUAUUUCUCAAAUGUGCAAUAUAUAGAAUCUACUUGAACUAAUCCUCUGGUUUUAUUUUGUAAAAAUGUUUUAAUUCUUUAUUUUUGCAUGCUGCAAGUAGAAG